rnacentral:rRNA from 1 species
UACGUAGGUGGCAAGCGUUGUCCGGAUUUAUUGGGUUUAAAGGGUGCGUAGGCGGCCCUGUAAGUCAGUGCUGAAAUAUCCCAGCUUAACUGGGAGGGUGGCAUUGAUACUGCGGGGCUAGAGUACAGAUGAGGUAGGCGGAAUUGACGGUGUAGCGGUGAAAUGCUUAGAUAUCGUCAAGAACACCUAUAGCGAAGGCAGCUUACUAGGCUGUAACUGACGCUGAGGCACGAAAGUGUGGGGAGCAAAAGGG